GUCGUCAGCUCGUGUCGUGAGAUGUUGGGUUAAGUCCCGCAACGAGCGCAACCCUUGCCUUUAGUUGCCAUCAUUCAGUUUGGGCACUCUAGAGGGACUGCCCGGUGUCAAACCGGAGGAAGGUGGGAUGACGUCAAGUCCUCAUGGCCUUUAUGCCCAGGGCUACACACGUGCUACAAUGGGCGGUACAAAGAGCAGCGAGCUCGCGAGAGUAAGCAAAUCUCAAAAAGCCGUCCUCAGUUCGGAUUGGAGUCUGCAACUCGACUCCAUGAAGUUGGAAUCGCUAGUAAUCGCGGAUCAGCAUGCCGCGGUGAAUACGUUCCCGGGCCUU
rnacentral:rRNA from 1 species